rnacentral:misc_RNA from 1 species
UUUCCGUAGGUGAACCUGCGGAAGGAUCAUUAUUGUAUAACCGAGGUGCGUGGGCUGUCGCUGACCCGAAAGGUCGUGCACGCCCGAGUGCCCUCACACACAUCCAUCUCACCCCUAUGUGCACCACCGCGUGGGUCCCCCUUUGGCUUGUUCGGAGGGGGGCUUACGUUUUCACACAAACUUUGUAUGCAGUGUAGAAUGUAUUUUUUGUUUUUGCGAUCACGCAAUCAAUACAACUUUCAACAACGGAUCUCUUGGCUCUC